CCCUUAGAUGUUCUGGGCUGCACGCGCGCUACACUGAAGCGUUCAACGAGUAUUCACCUUGCCCGGGAGGGUUGGGUAAUCUUUUGAAAACGCUUCGUGAUGGGGAUAGAUUAUUGCAAUUAUUAAUCUUCAACGAGGAAUUCCUAGUAAGCACGGGUCAUAAGCUCGUACUGAUUACGUCCCUGCCCUUUGUACACACCGCCCGUCGCUACUACCGACUGGUAAGAUAUCUAAGGAGCAUGGACGUCGGCAGACGCGGUUCGCGCCGUGUCUGCGGGCAGAAGCGCCCCGCAGAUUUCUUGCUGGAGGAAGUAAAAGUCGUAACA
rnacentral:rRNA from 1 species